rnacentral:rRNA from 1 species
AUUGAACGCUGGCGGCAUGCCUUACACAUGCAAGUCGAACGGUAACAGGUCUUCGGAUGCUGACGAGUGGCGAACGGGUGAGUAAUACAUCGGAACGUGCCUAGUAGUGGGGGAUAACUACUCGAAAGAGUGGCUAAUACCGCAUGAGAUCUACGGAUGAAAGCAGGGGAUCGCAAGACCUGGUGCUACUAGAGCGGCCGAUGGCAGAUUAGGUAGUUGGUGGGAUAAAAGCUUACCAAGCCGACGAUCUGUAGCUGGUCUGAGAGGACGAUCAGCCACACUGGGACUGAGACACGGCCCAGACUCCUACGGGAGGCAGCAGUGGGGAAUUUUGGACAAUGGGCGCAAGCCUGAUCCAGCAAUGCCGCGUGCAGGAUGAAGGCCUUCGGGUUGUAAACUGCUUUUGUACGGAACGAAAAGCCCUGGGUUAAUACCCUGGGGUCACGACGGUACCGUAAGAAUAAGCACCGGCUAACUACGUGCCAGCAGCCGCGGUAA